rnacentral:rRNA from 1 species
UACAGAGGUCUCAAGCGUUGUUCGGAAUUAUUGGGCGUAAAGCGCGUGUAGGCGGCUUGGCAAGUCGGGUGUGAAAUCCCUCAGCUUAACUGAGGAAGUGCGCCCGAAACUGCCGAGCUUGAGUACCGGAGAGGGUGGCGGAAUUCCCCAAGUAGAGGUGAAAUUCGUAGAUAUGGGGAGGAACACCGGUGGCGAAGGCGGCCACCUGGACGGAUACUGACGCUGAGACGCGAAAGCGUGGGGAGCAAACAGG